rnacentral:rRNA from 1 species
AUGAACGCUGGCGGCGUGCCUAAUACAUGCAAGUCGAGCGAACAGAUGAGGAGCUUGCUCCUCUGGCGUUAGCGGCGGACGGGUGAGUAACACGUGGAUAACCUACCUAUAAGACUGGGAUAACUUCGGGAAACCGGAGCUAAUACCGGAUAAUAUAUUGAACCGCAUGGUUCAAUAGUGAAAGACGGUUUUGCUGUCACUUAUAGAUGGAUCCGCGCCGCAUUAGCUAGUUGGUAAGGUAACGGCUUACCAAGGCAACGAUGCGUAGCCGACCUGAGAGGGUGAUCGGCCACACUGGAACUGAGACACGGUCCAGACUCCUACGGGAGGCAGCAGUAGGGAAUCUUCCGCAAUGGGCGAAAGCCUGACGGAGCAACGCCGCGUGAGUGAUGAAGGUCUUCGGAUCGUAAAACUCUGUUAUUAGGGAAGAACAAAUGUGUAAGUAACUAUGCACGUCUUGACGGUACCUAAUCAGAAAGCCACGGCUAACUACGUG